ensembl:rRNA 5S_rRNA 5S ribosomal RNA
CCAGGCACCCCCUGUUGGCGCCUAGGGCCAUAUCACACUCAUGCCAGAAGCUAAACAGGGUCGGGACUGGCCAGUACUUGGAUGGAAGACUGUUUAUGAAUUUUGGCUUCCUGCU